UACGAAGGGGACUAGCGUUGUUCGGAAUUACUGGGCGUAAAGCGCGCGCAGGCGGUCUUCCAAGUCAGUGGUGAAAGCCCGGAGCUCAACUCCGGAACUGCCAUUGAAACUGUGAGACUUGAGUAUGAGAGAGGUGAGUGGAAUUCCCAGUGUAGAGGUGAAAUUCGUAGAUAUUGGGAAGAACACCGGUGGCGAAGGCGGCUCACUGGCUCAUUACUGACGCUCAGGCGCGACAGCGUGGGGAUCAAACAGG
rnacentral:rRNA from 1 species